CUCUAGGUUUUCACCAAGGCAGAGCUGAUCCAUGUGUGUUUGUCAAGGAGGAGGGGCAAAACAAACUGUAUUGUUUAUGUUUAGUUGAUGAUCUUCUGUUUUGGAAGAAUCAGGCUUUGUACCAAAGCACCCUAGCUCAGCUGAAGGAGCAGUUUGACAUGAAGGAUCUUGGUGAGGUUUCCAACUAUCUUUCUCUGCAGGUGGAGAGGGACCAGGCAGGUAAUUUUCUGGUACACCAAACACAGAAAAUUUCUGAUGUAUUAACAAGGCUGAAUUUGGUUGAUGCAAACCCAGCAGUCACACCGAUGGUGACAGGUUACCAGGUAGAUAGUACUGCUGAAGCAUUUUCUGACACCACACUGUACAGAUGCAUUCUAGGCAAGUUGAAUUUCAUUGCUAGAUGUUCAAGACCUGACAUAGCUGUAAGCACUAACUUGCUUAGCAGACAUGCCAACAAUCCUACUGUUCAGGAUUGGAAAGCUCUGAAGCGCAUAGCCUGCUAUUUGAAAGGGACUUUGCACUACUGGCUGAGGUUCACCAGUCAGAAGAUUGGAGGUCUUGAAAUCUUUGCAGAUGCUAGUUUUGGAAGUGACACCACGGAUGGUACAAGCACUUCUGGAGUAUGCUACAUGUACAACCACUGUCUGUUUGACUGGCUGUGCAAAAAGCAAAUGACAGUAAGCCUAAGUUCCUGUGAAGCAGAACUCAGUGCUCUGUCAUUUUCACUCAUGGAUUGUGAAUGGUUGAUGCAACUGUUUCAGGACAUCAGAGUUUCUGUGAAAUGUCCUAUACAGGUGUAUCAAGACAAUAGAUCCUGUUUGGCUUUGCUGAACUCAGAGAGUCGCAAGCAAAGAACCAAAUACUUGCAGAUUAAGUUACAUCGUGCAAGAGAGCGUAUUCAGAAAGGAUUCAUUCAAGUGUCCUACAUGCCAGGAAAUGAAAUUUCUGCUGAUCUGUUGUCUAAGGUUGUUAACAGAGAACAACUUAAGGUUUAUGUACAGAGGUUGCAAUUGGGUUGAACCACAGGUACUACAGGUUACACGGAAAGGGGGAGGAUGUUAGGAUAUAGUUCCGUUCCACCUUAAAAGAGUCAGGCAUGAUUGUUGUGUGUCACAUGCCUGUUUACUCCCAGCACUGUUCUCGCUGGGAAGUUCUGUUUUGUAUAUAGCUUUUGUUUCUGGCUGUUUAUAUGGAAAACAUGUUUUUCCUUUGUCAUGUUUUUCCUUUGUUCUGAUCUACAUUGAAUAAAGCUGUAAAUAUGCUCUCCUGUCUGAAUCUUCCGUUGUGGAGACUGUUGAAAAGGGUGUGCACGAAUCUUGAAAUGUCUCUGAGGCUCGUGUCGCUAAUUGCCUGAUGCUGUUCUAUGGGAGACCGGUGAUCGUCUGGAGGCGACUUGGAGACCUGCCUGAUGCCUCCGUCUCCCUGGCAGUAUCCCAACAAUAAACAUGUUCUGGAUCCUCUCAUCACCCUUGAAACAUGCAGUGUGUGUGUGUGUGUGUCCUGCCAUCAUAGCUAAAGUCUGUAAGUCUUAUACCAGGGCUGUCGAUCAUGAUUUACCAGUCGAUUGCGGGAUGCCCCUGGUCAAUUGUGGUCAGUCGCUGGAUCCUCCGCAACAACUUUGGCUUCCCUAAAGGCUCAACAACUCUGGUCAAUCGAGUGGGUAGAUCACUGCCAGUUUUUUUGUGUGGUGGUUGUAGAUCACAGUCUCUUGGAAGUUGGACAGUCCUGUCUUAUAUCAUACAAUCAGAUACACAUUUUACAAGCUUUUCCAUUGCAGGGUCAUUGAAAUCCUCUCUGCAGCUAACAUCCAUGUCAAAAGCUCUUCCUAUCCUGCCUUUUGACUGGCACCCUCAAACUUGCAAAAUACACAUGUGCAUUAAAGAAUAUAUGAAAACACAAGGAAACAAAACAUCAUGAGCCCAGCUAGAGCAAGAGCAGAGGUCUGGGCCAACUUUGACUGCCUCCCUUUCCCUUGGAAUCCUUCCCUCUGGGCAGUUGGUAGUGGGUGGUCCAGUGAUGGUGGACGUGGGCUUUGCCUGCCCUUCUCACUCUCUCCUGCCACUUCUUCCAGGAUAUUUUCAAUUCUUUGGCUUGAUAACUGUAUUGCAAAAUUCAAAGAAGGGUGAGUUUCAAAGAAGAGCUUUGUAAUGCUUCAUGCACUGCAAGAGUGGGGAAUCUCUGGCCAUCCAGACAUUGCUCUGUGAUGGCCCCCAUCACCCCUGACAAUUGGCCUUGCUGGCUGGGGCUGAGGGCAGUUGAUGGAGCCCAACAUGUUCUGAAGCAUCACAAGGCUGUAUUGUUUGGGAAGUGAAAAUCUGGUGAGCCUGCAUUAAAAUGUGACCCCAUGAAUUUUCUCCUCCAUCCCUAGGCAGGAAGCCCAUGCGGGGAGAGGGGCCACUGCGGCCUUCUUGCCUAUAGAACCCAGGGCCAACGGUGUCCCCAAGCGCACCCGAGGCAGAAGUAGUGAAGGCUGGGUCGGGGAGCUCCAGCCCGCCAUUAGCUUCUUUCCACUCAAGCUUUCUGUUUGUGCUGUGGUGGUAUAACCCAGCCCUAUCCAUACUCAUGGCCUUCUCGCUCUCUCUUUCUUUCAGUUAAGGGCAGUCAGAAAUGCGAACUUAAUUGUCGAGCAGUAGGUUAUCGGUUCUACGUGAGACAAGCGGAGAAGGUCAUUGACGGGACGCCGUGUGACCAAAAUGCAACCUCUGUCUGCGUGUCUGGGCAGUGCAAGGUAGGGAUGAUGCCCACCUGGAGAGGGUUUCUUUUCUCUUUAUGCGCCAUUUCUACGUGCUGAUUUCUC